rnacentral:rRNA from 1 species
GACGAACGCUGGCGGCGUGCCUAAUACAUGCAAGUCGAACGCAGGGGGGAAGGGGGAGUAACACGUGGGUAACCUCCCAUCAGAGGGGAUAACACUUGGAAACAGGUGCUAAACCGGUACUGAUGGAUGGACACGCGGUUCAUUAGCUAGUUGGUGAGGUAACGGCUCACCAAGGCCACGAUGCAUAGCCGACCUGAGAGGGUGAUCGGCCACACUGGGACUGGGACACGGCCAAGACUCCUCCGGGAGGCAGCAGUAGGGAAUCUUCGGCAAUGGACGAAAUUUUGACCGAGCACCGCCGCGUGAGUGAAGAAGGUUUUCGGAUCGUAAAACUCUGUUGUUAGAGAAGCGGUAUCUAACCAGAAAGCCACGGCUAACUACGUGCCAGCAGCCGCGGUAAUUC